rnacentral:rRNA from 1 species
GUGAGGAAUAUUGGUCAAUGGGCGCAAGCCUGAACCAGCCAUCCCGCGUGAAGGAAGAAUGCGCUAUGCGUUGUAAACUUCUUUUCCAGGGGAAUAAAAUUUCGUACGAGUACGGGACUGAAGGUACCUUGGGAAUAAGCAUCGGCUAACUCCGUGCCAGCAGCCGCGGUAAUACGGAGGAUGCGAGCGUUAUCCGGAUUUAUUGGGUUUAAAGGGUGCGUAGGCGGAAAAAUAAGUCAGUGGUGAAAACCUUCAGCUUAACUGGAGACUUGCCAUUGAUACUGUUAUUCUUGAGUAUAGUUAAGGUAGGCGGAAUGUGUAAUGUAGCGGUGAAAUGCUUAGAUAUUACACAGAACACCAAUUGCGAAGGCAGCUUACUGAGCUAUAACUGACGCUGAUGCACGAAAGCGUGGGGAGCGAACAGGAUUAGAAACCCGAGUAGUCC